GAUGAACGCUGACAGAAUGCUUAACACAUGCAAGUCUAUUGGAAGCUUGCUUCCGAUGGCGGACGGGUGAGUAACACGUAAAGAAUCUGCCCUUUAGUCUGGGAUAACAACUGGAAACAGUUGCUAAUACCGGAUAUUAUAAUCUGAUGGCAUCAUCUUUUUAUGAAAACUAUAUGUGCUAAAGGUGGACUUUGCGGCCCAUUAGCUAGUUGGUGAGGUAACGGCUCACCAAGGCUUCGAUGGGUAGCCGGCCUGAGAGGGUGUACGGCCACAAGGGGACUGAGACACGGCCCUUACUCCUACGGGAGGCAGCAGUGGGGAAUAUUGGACAAUGGGAGAAAUCCUGAUCCAGCAAUUCUGUGUGCAUGAUGACGGUCUUCGGAUUGUAAAGUGCUUUCGACAGGGAAGAAUAAAUUGACGGUACCUGUAUAAGAAGCGACGGCUAAAUACGUG
rnacentral:rRNA from 1 species